UGCAGUCGAGCGAACUGAUUAGAAGCUUGCUUCUAUGACGUUAGCGGCGGACGGGUGAGUAACACGUGGGCAACCUGCCUGUAAGACUGGGAUAACUUCGGGAAACCGAAGCUAAUACCGGAUAGGAUCUUCUCCUUCAUGGGAGAUGAUUGAAAGAUGGUUUCGGCUAUCACUUACAGAUGGGCCCGCGGUGCAUUAGCUAGUUGGUGAGGUAACGGCUCACCAAGGCAACGAUGCAUAGCCGACCUGAGAGGGUGAUCGGCCACACUGGGACUGAGACACGGCCCAGACUCCUACGGGAGGCAGCAGUAGGGAAUCUUCCGCAAUGGACGAAAGUCUGACGGAGCAACGCCGCGUGAGUGAUGAAGGCUUUCGGGUCGUAAAACUCUGUUGUUAGGGAAGAACAAGUACGAGAGUAACUGCUCGUACCUUGACGGUACCUAACCAGAAAGCCACGGCUAACUACGUGCCAGCAGCCGCGGUAAUACGUAGGUGGCAAGCGUUAUCCGGAAUUAUUGGGCGUAAAGCGCGCGCAGGCGGUUUCUUAAGUCUGAUGUGAAAGCCCACGGCUCAACCGUGGNAGGGUCAUUGGAAACUGGGGAACUUGAGUGCAGAAGAGAAAAGCGGAAUUCCACGUGUAGCGGUGAAAUGCGUAGAGAUGUGGNAGGAACACCAGUGNCGA
rnacentral:rRNA from 1 species